UACGAAGGGUGCAAGCGUUAAUCGGAAUUACUGGGCGUAAAGGGUGCGUAGGCGGUUGUUUAAGUCUGUCGUGAAAUCCCCGGGCUCAACCUGGGAAUGGCGAUGGAUACUGGGCAGCUAGAGUGUGUCAGAGGAUGGUGGAAUUCCCGGUGUAGCGGUGAAAUGCGUAGAUAUCUGGAGGAACACCGGUGGCGAAGGCGGCAUCCUGGACCGGCAUUGACGCUGAGGCGCGAAAGCCAGGGGAGCAAACGGG
rnacentral:rRNA from 1 species